GGUGCGGCGUCCUACGGGGAGGACCCCGGGCCUGCGCCCCCCUCCCGCCCUCCCAGGGCCACAGCCGCCCCCACCAGACUCUCAAUAAAUAAAGCCCCUCACCCACCCCUCCGCGGUGCAAUGUUGGCUGAUUGACUUCCAGAGGAUCCUGACCUGUGCUUUGUGUUUUCAUACCGUACGAAAGAGAGAAAGAGAGGCACAAGGACUUGGGGGAGACGCGGGGAGGAGGAGUAAGGCACAGAAAGACAAGCCAGAGGGGCCACGUCACACCGGGGUGGCCGGGUGUGCCCGCGCUCCCCUCCCGCCCGGGCCGCCCCGGGGAGGGAGGGCUGGGGACAGCGACUUCCUGUGGUGUGGUACCGAAUUGUUCCCGAAUCGCUCCGCGAGGAGGGCUUCCCUACGGGACGGGGACGCGAAGAGACCCAAACGACGACUGCCCCACCCCGAAAUAAAGAGUACAGACGUGACAGCGGAGACGGGGAGGGCGUGGGGACGCGCGGGAGCGGCCGGGCGCCGCGGAACGCUCGGGAAGAGGACGACCCCCCUCCCCAGGAACCCCGACUCCUACCUAGCGCAGAGGAACCAGGACUGGAAGAGGACCCAAGAGAGACAGAGACAGAGACACACAGUGAAUGAGAAGAGCUGGGGGCUGGUCCCAUCUCCCUCUGAGUUGGCCUU